rnacentral:rRNA from 1 species
UACGGAGGGUGCAAGCGUUAUUCGGAUUUACUGGGCGUAAAGCGUGCGCAGGCGGUUUGUUAAGUCUGCUGUGAAAUCCCCGAGCUCAACUUGGGAAUUGCAGUGGAUACUGGCAGGCUGGAGUAUGGUAGAGGAAGGUGGAAUUCCCGGUGUAGCAGUGAAAUGCGUAGAGAUCGGGAGGAACAUCAGUGGCGAAGGCGGCCAUCUGGGACAACACUGACGCUGAAGCACGAAAGCGUGGGGAGCAAACAGG